GAUGAAGAACGUAGCGAAAUGCGAUAAGUAAUGUGAAUUGCAGAAUUCAGUGAAUCAUCGAAUCUUUGAACGCACAUUGCGCCCGUCAGUAUUCUGGCGGGCAUGCCUGUUCGAGCGUCAUUACGCCCCUCAAGUCCCCUGUGGACUUGGUGUUGGGGAUCGGCGAGGCUGGUAUUCCAGCACAGCCGUCCCUUAAAUUAAUUGGCGGUCUCGCCGUGGCCCUCCUCUGCGCAGUAGUAAAACACUCGCAACAGGAGCCCGGCGCGGUCCACUGCCGUAAAACCCCCCAACUUUUUAUAGUUGACCUCGAAUCAGGUAGGACUACCCGCUGAACUUAAGCAUAUCAAUAAGCGGAGGA
rnacentral:misc_RNA from 1 species